rnacentral:rRNA from 1 species
GACGAACGCUGGCGGCGUGCUUAACACAUGCAAGUCGAACGGAAAGGCCCUGCUUUUGUGUGGUGCUCGAGUGGCGAACGGGUGAGUAACACGUGAGUAACCUGCCCUUGACGUUGGGAUAACUUCAGGAAACUGGGGCUAAUACCGGAUAGGAGCUCCUGCUGCAUGGUGGGGGUUGGAAAGUUUCGGCGGUUGGGGAUGGACUCGGGGCUUAUCAGCUUGUUGGUGGGGUAGUGGCUUACCAAGGCUUUGACGGGUAGCCGGCCUGAGAGGGUGACCGGCCACAUUGGGACUGAGAUACGGCCCAGACUCCUACGGGAGGCAGCAGUGGGGAAUAUUGCACAAUGGGCGGAAGCCUGAUGAAGAAACGCCGCGUGCGGGAUGACGGCCUUCGGGUUGUAAACCGCUUUAGCCUGUGACGAAGCGUGAGUGACGGUAAUGGGUAAAGAAGCACCGGCUAACUACGUG